AGGUAUAUGUGGAGGGCUUUUUAUUGCCUUGAGGGGCACUGAUGACUUAAAUAUCAUGUACAAUGACAUGACACUGAGACCU
rnacentral:snoRNA from 1 species